AAUACAUUUCUGGGAAAAAGAAGUUACAAAUAACAUUCAAGGUCCAAUUUCAUAUUCAAAAUCCAAGAUUGCAUCACAAGAAGUCUCAUUUACAAAUUACACAAAAAUUCUAGGUUUGACCUAAGGUUUUAUUUUUGGUCAACUGUUGACUUUUGGUCAAACAGCUGACCAAGGUCAAACUAAAUCCGAAGCCUAUAUUUUUUCUCCAUUCUCAUGAUUUCCAUGUAUGGCUCCAAAACUUUUUAUCUUCAUGUCCAAUGGUCUAAACUCCAAGAAACAUUUAGACAUGCCAUGACCCAAAUCCAAGCUCCAUGAUAAAGACUUCAUGUUUCACUAGGCCAAGAUUUGCAGCAGCCCCUGCAAAACCCAAGUCAUAUUAGCAUCAUACAUCACAUAUAAGCACACAUAAGAUUUCAUGCAUAGCUAGGCCAAUCAACAUUGCACCCAGAACAUAAUUCCAUAAGUUAUUCACACAACAAACAAUAUGCAUCCUAAUUUUCAAGAGCAUUAUCAUCAUUGUCAGCACACAUAUGCACAUCCAAAUACAUUAUGACAUAACCAUUCUAUCCUAAAUUCACAAUACACAAAACCAUAAUGUCUUAAAGCAUCACCAUCAUCACAACCAUUUGGGAUCUUAACUACAUAUUACAAUGCCAUUCCAAACAUGUUCAAAUCUCAUGACAAUGCACCAAAUACACAGUCCAAAACCUGCUACAUCAUACAACAUAAACCUAUAUCACGACAUUUCCAUAUCACAAAUAUCAUGAUAGAUGCACAUCUCAAAUUUCAAUCAUCAAAUAGUCAAAACAAAGUGCAAAUCCAAAUCAAUUUAGAAUAUACACUACUCAUACAUACCACAACACAAAUGCAAAGCAUCAUAAAACCAUGCUACAUCCAAAUCCAUACAUACAUACAUACAUGGCCACAAUUGUCAUAACAAUUUCUAACCAAACCCUAACUGUCAUGACUAAUCCUAUACUAACCAAUCAAAAUUACUUCCAAUCACUUUACUAACCUCACCUCUAACUGUUAAAAUCAACCUCUAACAUAUAACUCAACUAACUAAUUAAAUUGUUACCCUAACUAACUAGCUCUCAUUCAGUUAACUAACAACUGAGUUAUCAAGACUAACACCAUCCCACAACCAUCCUUCAGUUCCUCAUCAACUACCCAGCUGUCAUGGUUUUGUUAUCAUUUCCAAAUUGACCAACAUCUUCCGAUGACCAUUACCAUUUUUUUACAGCUAUUUAAAUUUUUAUUCAAACUUAUAACCAACUAACAUUCAAAUAACAAUUAAACUAAUUCAUUUAACUAACCCUAACUAUUUUCCAUCCUUUGUAACUAACUAGACAUUGAUUUCUAACUUCUAUUAACCUUUUUCCAUUAUCAAAGUUAAUUACCGAUCAACUGACCUUUUAACUAGUUCAAUUGGCCUAACAGUUAACUUCUAACUUCUAACAGUUCAAGUUUCUAAUUCAACAAUCAACUAACGCAGUUCAAGCUAACAUAAUUUCUAACUGUCUUAAAUUAGCACUGUUAAUUAACACUAACUAAUUUUCUCAUGAAACAACUAACUUUCACGGUUGCCCUAACUUUCAACUAACAUUUCCUUAAAGCUACAUGAGUUAGUUAUCAAAUUUCCCUCCAAUCCAAUAUUCAAGCUCUCCUAUAAAAAUUCACUCUCUCUUCAGUCAUCGAUGAAAUUCUGGUAUCAGAUAUGAGACGUCGAAGAUAAUGUCACGACACUAAUAUCUGAACAAUAUAAACAGGAUAAAAGAUAAAGAACAGUAAUGCAAGUGACACAAGCAAUUGUUAACCCAGUUCAGUGCAAACUCACCUACGUCUAGGGGCUACCAAGCCAGGAAGGAAAUCCACUAAACAUAAUUAGUUCAAACACUCUCAGUAAACAACUUCAAGUUACAAUCUUUUCACCUAAUCUCUAACCGUGUGACUUCUACCUAAGAACUCUUAGAUAUGAGAUCCUACUCACUCCCCCUCAAUCACACCAGUGAUGUAAAACAAGUAUUACAAUGAAAAGAAGACACUCUUCAAGAACACAUACUUGAUCUUGCUUAAAAGCUUCAAUCAAGUAAACACACACUCAUGCUUCAAAGCUUAGAGUGGACAAAUUACAACUCAAAAGUCAGUCCAAUUGGAAUCAUCUAUGGAUGAAUAAUUGCUCACAAUACACACGACACACGAAGACAAAACCCUUAUUCUCUCUCAAUAUUCGUUCAUUAUUUCUUGUGUAUAAACCAGGUUUCCACGCCCUAUUUAUAGAAUCGUUUGGUUGGGCUUGGACAUCAUAAAACCUAAAACUAUUUUCCAUUCAUCUUUCUCAUGACAGCUGAUUAUAUCUCGUUGGAAAAUAAGUUAAUCUAGUUGUAAUUACUGAUUGGAAUGCGCGUUUCAAUCAUCUCUUCAAUCAUACAUAGAUUAGCAUAAAAAAUGCAAUCACACAAUACAUAACAUUCAGACUGAAUGUUCUGUAUACAGAUGUCAUGACAUCGGGUCUGACAUCUCAGUAAAAUCCUGCAUGUUCUCAUUUUAAACACCCUGCAGGUACAUGUUAUCUUAUGUCAAGACAACAGUUGUGACAACUUGUGAACACUCUAGGUUUUACCAAAAUUGCUCCCAAGACAUAGAACCAACAAUUGAAGAGACACGGUUCACUCACCCUCACUCUGAAUUCUUCGUAUUUUCUCUACAACCUUCUCUCUCACCCUCAAACUUCAUUAGAGCUCUUCAAGAUACUCCUCAGAACUUCAUAUUGAAGCUCCGAUCUUAACAUUGAAGCUCUAAAAGAGUACAACUUGGCCUCACUUCUCGCAGUUUCUACACUCUACUCCUAACCAAGCUACAACAAGGAGAGUUCCCUACAGACUAAUUCCAGAAGAAGAAGAAGAAGAAGAAGAAGAAGGAAGAAAGAAAAUUACAUGGAUUAGAAUUCAGGGCAUACCUGAGCAUAUCUCUGGGUUUCUCUUUGCAUCUCCAUCUUAAAGCAUUUUAACAACUCUCAUAUCAUCCCUCUGCUCUGUAGGUAGGCAUUUCUUCUUCGAUCCCUUCUCUUAUUUGCGGAAAACGUUUUACCAUACUAUAGGAUUUUGAGUGAGGAAUAAAAUCCCUAAGGUGGUAGCUUAAAUUUGUGAGUUGUGAGCAUUUAAUUUUAAAUGGAAGAUAUAGGGUUCUUGAAGUUUUUUUGGUGGAUUGGAGGUUUCAGCAGGAUUUGAUGAAAAAUGUUUGGAGAAAUAGAAAGAGGAUGAGAAGGGGAGUCUAAAGGUGGUGGUAUGCUGCAUUUUUGCGCUCCGCCGCCUCCGAAGUGAUUCCCUAUGCGACAGAGCAAUUUCUAGCCACUUGAGUUCUUUUAGAGAGGGAGAGAGGCGUCUAUUUAGAAUGAAGAGGAAGUGAAGUGAGACUGAAACUUCUCCAUUCCUUUGCCCUUGUGGUGGGCCUCAAGUGUAAGCCUAAAAGGCUUUUACUUCAUUACACCUCAGCCAUACUGAUUCACACCCUCCACUUUGAAUCAAACCAAGAUAACUAACAUGGGCCUUCAGCUUCUGGGCCCAACGCAUUUUUUAUCAGACUCCAUUUUCCUCAAAUGCAUCAUUGGUAGAGUGAUUAAUUAUUAAUUAUUUUUUUGAUUGAUUUUAAUAUUUUGUAACACAUUAAAAAUGGACAUUAAAGACAAAUAUAAUUCAUUAGAUUAAGGUUUUAAUUAGGUUAAGAUAUUUAGUUAGACUUAAUUUUGUUUAGGUUUAGUUCUUAAAUGAAAAUUAGAUAUAGGUUAGAAAUUAGGGUUUAACAUGUUGAAUUCCAUUUCCAAUAACUUUAAUUUUUUUCCUUCAUGAUUCCAUAUGUUGACAUGCGGCUCUUAGAAUAUUCGUCUUGAUUGAUUAGUUGAUCAAAUUGGCUUUGAUCAAUUAAUUAGAUUAAAAUUUAGGAAUUUUUUUGUAUGAUUUUUCAAGAACCAAUUUGCAUGUUUCCUUAGGAUUCACAUUUAAUUAAGUGAUCAUAAGUCCCUUUAUCACUUGAUUGAAUUAGAUCUUCAUACUUACCUACACUUGAACCACUAAAUCAAUUCUAAUCCAUAUCCAUUCAAAACUCUAGAACUAGGUGAACAUCAAGGCAUGCUAAACUUUAUCCUAUUCUUCGGUACCUCAAACUUUUUUUCCAACCUUGUUCCCUAAACUCAUCCAACACAAAACAAAAACAAUUCUUUUCUUAUUCAACCUCAAAACCCUUAACCAUUUUGAUGUGAAUUGUGUUCCAUAAGUAGAUAAAGAAUAAGAGGGAGUAUUCCUAUCCUUAUUCUGAAUGUCUCUAGAUAUGGUACGCUUGACUCAUUUGUUCAAAGUACUCACCUUCAUUCAUAGACUUUAGGGCAGUUCAAAUCAAAACAACUUUCAACAUUCACCCUCAGACUAAUAACUCAACAAUCCACAUAAAAAACACUACUCUCUUUGGACCAAACACAAUACUCUUUGGACACCCAUACACUUUUGAGGUUAAUCACGUUAUGUUUGUUAAAACACCUCCUUCAUGGGUUAAUCACCUUCUCUUGGUUAAGCACUUGUCUCUAAACCACACACCUCUCUUUGUGUUAAUCACCUUCUCAUGGUUAAAACUCUUUUUCAUGCAUGUCUGCCUUGUGAGUCCCAGUGCUUAGGAAGACCCCUUUCAUGCAUGUGUUUCCUUGUGAUACCUAGUGCUUAGGAAAACCCCUCAUUUUCAUGCAUGUUUGCCUUGUAAGUCUCAGUGCUUAGGCAUGCUCCUUUUUUUACAUGUUUGCCUUGUGAGUACCAAUGCUUAGGAAAACCUUUCUCAUGCAUGCUUGCCUUGUGAGACCCGGUGCUUAGGCAUGCUACCUCAUACAUGCUUUCCUUGUGAGACCUAGUGCUUAGGCAAGCCACCUCAUGCAUGUUUUCCUUGUGAGACCCAAUGCUUAGGCAAGCCACCUCAUGCAUGUUUUCCUUGUAAGACCCAGUGCUUAGGAAAACCCUCUUCUCAUACAUUUCUUCCUUGUGAGUCCUAGUUAUUAUGCAUACCACCUCUUUCAUGUUUGCCUUGUGAGUCCCAGUGCUUAGGCAACCCUUUCUCAUGCAUGCUUUCCUUGUGAGACCUAGAGCUUAGGAAAUCCAUAUCAUGCAUGUUUGCCUUGUGAGUCUUAAUGCAUAGGCAUACAUCUCUCAUACAUGUUUGCCUUGUGAGACCCGGUGCUUAGGAAAACCUUUUUCAUCCAUCUCUGCCUUGUGAGUCCCAAUGCUUAGGCAGACCCUUUUCAUGCAUGUUUGCCUUGUGGGUCCCAGAGCUUAGGAAAACCCCCUUUGUAGGCCUUGGCCCCCGAAUAUAGGAAAACCCCUGCAAUUAUGCAUUGGUAAAUCACUAUUUAUUGGUUAAAUACCAUACUUCUGGUUCAAAAACCAUUAUAUGGGUUCAAACAAUCCACUCUUGGUUCAAGCAACACCUUCACCGCUUCAUAAACCUUUUCAAUUCAUUUCCAAACUACUAUAUUUCCAUAAAAGGACUAUUAUAAUCCAUUCCUUAGCAGUCAGACCAAAAUCUUAAAGAAAUUGAACUUGAAUCAAACCACCUAACGCCAAAGCACUUCUAGGAUACGAUUAUAACACCAUUCCCUAAAAAUAACCAACAAAUACAUAGUUUUCUACCACGAACUAUGUAGCUCUGCUUUUCUCAUUGCAUUACGAGAAUACGUAGGCACGAGGGUUUGAAUCCUUGGUGAACACAUUGAUUAAUAAAUUAUUUUCCCACUUAAUUAAGACCAAUGCAAGUAACCUUUAGAUUAUAACACCCAUAUGCGUAAAGAAUAAUCAAAAUGGUUCUCGUUGAGUACAACAAAUGUGAGGGAUGCUAAUACAUUCCCCUUGCAUAACCAACUUCCUUACCCUUUUUAUAUUCCCUUUGGGUUUUACUGAUAUUUUCUCUUUCUCUUAGAAUAAAUAAAAUUCUGUGGCGACUCCGUUGUAUUUCGAGCGUGCGAUGCGCUCCGGUACUUUUUUGCAGUGCGACAGUUCUGAAAUCAAACUAUAUCAAGGUUUCAAGCCUAUCAAAAGAACUAGUUCCGAAAAGAAGUUAUUCAAAUUAUGAUUGAUCGGAAUCCGUAGUUGUUCAUCAGCAUCUGAAGGCAUCAAAUUCUGGUCUCGACCCAGCUCUUGAUGACAGCUCAGCUUCUUAAAGGAUGAAGGGAAUCUGAUCCGUACACUGUACCAAACCAGUCUUGUCUUAUCAAAGCCCCAUAUUUCUGGACAGAUUUAACUAGGGUUUCAUUUUGCAAGGCUCAAGAAAUAGAGAUGUGACAUCUUCAUUAUAAUCUACCUUUUGGUAGAUAUAUAGUACAUUUAAAGGUACUAAGAGUGUUGCUAUGAUUCAAUGGACAAAGCUAUAGAUCAUAUGCUAAUCUCUAAUGGCUUUCUUGGAAUACUUCUUCACUAAGCUUGCUCGUUAUGUUCAAAUCCUCCAACGACUAUUUUCUUGGACCUAUAAAAAGAAGUUCAAGGAUAUGAAGAAGUCCGAAGAUGAUUGGUCAAGUUGAUCAAUAUGGGUUUGAUUUAGAAAGAAGCCUAUUUUCAUGGGAUUGAGCAGGAAGUCCUGAAUGGAUUAUUCAGGUAAUGAAGUCUCUUGAUUGAGGCUUUAGAAUAAGUCUCUUUCUAGUUUGAUUGAGCACAAGGUAAUAUGUUGAUUAUAGUAAAAAUCUCUUGUGCUACAAGGGGACUGGAGUACUCUCAGAUUGGGAGGAACCGAAAUAUAUUGUGUGUCUCUUUAUUUACUUAUGCUUUUUACAUUGCACUGUGCAACAAACUCUGAAGUUAGACUCUGAUCUGAUUCACAAUCUUACUUGGAUCAGAACCUUAGCUUGACAUUUUAGGUUCUGAACAGGUUUAAGAAAAAGAAGUAAAUUUCCCAUACAUAAUUUAACCCCCCUUCUUGUGUAUAUUUUUCUCACCUUCUAAGACAACAACAAAAUAUCUUGGAAACCGUUUUUCUUGUUUAAAAGGAAGACUGAUUAAAAUUCUAGAUCCUCAAAAGUCAGAAAACCAGAAGAAGCUUCUGAUGGAGAAGAUUAUAAUGGGGUUUUUGAUGAUGAGGAAAUGGAUUUCUUUAUCAAGAGGUUUCAACAGUUAACCAAUAUAUUCUCUAGUAAAAGUUCUAACUUCAAAGGUUUCUAUUCCAAAAAUAGAGAAGAUGACCAGAAGAUCUGCUCUAGCUGCAAUAAGCCUAAUCACUUUUAAAAUUAUUGUCCGAAUCUAAAAAAGGAAAGAUCUUUUAAGGGAAGCCUUAUAAAGGAAAGUUUCAAGAGCAAGUUGAAGAAAGGUCUCAUGGCAACUUGGGAUGAACUUGAUGACAACGAAGAUUUAGACAGAGAAGCUGAAGAAGCCAACCUUGCACUGAUGGCUCUCACACUCUCUUAUU
rnacentral:lncRNA from 1 species